UACGUAGGGACCAAGCGUUGUUCGGAUUUACUGGGCGUAAAGGGCGCGUAGGCGGCUUGACAAGUCACUUGUGAAAUCUCCGGGCUUAACUCGGAACGGCCAAGUGAAACUGUCAUGCUAGAGUGCAGAAGGGGCAAUCGGAAUUCUUGGUGUAGCGGUGAAAUGCGUAGAUAUCAAGAGGAACACCUGAGGUGAAGACGGUGCUGGGCUGACACGUGACGCUGAGGCGCGAAAGCCAGGGAGCAAACGGG
rnacentral:rRNA from 1 species